rnacentral:rRNA from 1 species
GACGAACGCUGGCGGCGUGCUUAACACAUGCAAGUCGAACGGUGAAGCUCCAGCUUGCUGGAGUGGAUCAGUGGCGAACGGGUGAGUAACACGUGAGCAACCUGCCCCAGACUCUGGAAUAAGCGCUGGAAACGGCGUCUAAUACUGGAUACGAGAUCAAGCCGCAUGGUUAUGGUCUGGAAAGUUUUUCGGUUUGGGAUGGGCUCGCGGCCUAUCAGCUUGUUGGUGAGGUAAUGGCUCACCAAGGCGACGACGGGUAGCCGGCCUGAGAGGGCGACCGGCCACACUGGGACUGAGACACGGCCCAGACUCCUACGGGAGGCAGCAGUGGGGAAUAUUGCACAAUGGGCGAAAGCCUGAUGCAGCGACGCCGCGUGAGGGAUGACGGCCUUCGGGUUGUAAACCUCUUUCAGCAGGGAAGAAGCGAAAGUGACGGUACCUGCAGAAGAAGCACCGGCUAACUACAUG